UAAAACAUUACAGGCUAAAACAUGGAAGCUACACCAGAACUGUACCAUUCAUUUCCUUGCUUACACCAAGAGUGUUUAUGCACAUUUAAGUCCAUCAGUGCACUUAGGGUCCACUUAUCCAAAAUUCACCAGAAAGACCAAGAUGCACAACUGUGUGAAACACUGACCUUUCACUGUCAGUCCUGUGAUUUUUCUGCUGCUUGCACAGAGGCAGUUUUUAUCACUCACUUGCGGAGUACACAUUUAAAAGUUAAUCACAGAGUCCACUGUCCAUAUAAUGGGUGUAACUUUAAUACUACUGUGUACUCCACAUUCAAUGCACACAGAAGUAAACAGCACAGAACAGGCAAUUGGAAGAUGUUCAAACCAGAAAUAGUGUCUGGUAGUGAAACCAAUGAAGUGGCAGAAGAGGAACCUGGGCCCCCAAACAACACUGUUGAUUUAGAAGGCAGCGAAGAGUCCAGCGAUGAAGAGCAUCAUGAUCUUGGGAAACAGUUGGAGCACAACCUAGCUGCUCUUUUUUUAAAGAUGCAAACCAUCCUCCACAUUCCACAAAGUUCUAUCGAUGAAGUUAUACAACAGCUCCUACAUUUACGUGAACUGUCCCAACCACUGCUGCACAAUUCAGUCAAGGACAUUUUGAAGCUACACACAGAUGUAGAUGAUUCAACUGUGAAACAAGUAGUCAGGGCUGCCUCAGAGAGCAAUAUCAUACUAAAGUAUUGUGGCAAGGGUGGCUCCUUAUCAACCUCUAAAAGGAGAGCAGCAUAUGUAAACAAAAACUUUGAUGUGGUUAUGCCAGUUGAGUACUUUAUUGCCAGGGAAAAUAAAUCCAGUGCUGUAUAUGUUCCUAUAAAUGCCAUGUUACAGAAAAUGUUGAACAGGGCAGACAUUUUAGAUAAAGCUCUUCCAGUACAAAAACAUGUGCCACAUGAGUACAGUACAUACAGAGAUGGUUUGUACUGUAAAGAAAAUGGCCCCUUAACAGCGAGGAAUUCAGAAUCGCUGUUGGACUUUACACAGAUGAUUUUGAAGUGUCUAAUCCAUUCGGGACAUCUAAGAAAAAACAUAAAAUGAGUGCAGUGUAUUGGGUGCUUGCCAAUGUGCCAUCAAAAUAUAGGUCCACACUCCAGUCCAUUCAACUUGGCUCUUUUAUGUAAAGCCUCUGAUGUAAAAGAAUAUGGCUAUGCUAAAACUCUUCAUCCUCUGAUCAGGAUCUGGUUUCUUUGGAGCAAGAUGGCCUAAAUGUUGAGAAGUUGGGAGCAUGUGUCAAAGGCACAGUGUUGUAUGUGGCUGCUGAUAACUUGGCUGCUCAUUCUUUUGCAGGAUUCUUUGAGAGCUUUGGAGUGGACAAGUUCUGCAGGUUCUGCAUGGCAACGAUGAGUGAGAUCCAAGACAAGGAGAUGGCAGCACACCAGAAGAUGACCUUGAGAGUAAUUUUCACAGAGACGGAUAUAAGAAAGGUUGUUCUGAAUACGAGACCCACUACAGUGGAGGAUUUGAUAGGCAAGCUUAAAGAUCACUGGGACUUAAUUUUAACUUCAGUCUCCAGUACCAAGAUCCUGAAUUCAAUUAUGAAGUGUGCAAUCUGACAGAUAUCGAAGAUCUUCCUGAAAAACCAACAGUCAAGGUCAUCCCUCUACUUGAGUUGGUAUCUGUCUCAACAUCUGAAGAAAUCUUGAGUGGCACACCCAGUGUAGCAGAUACAGAGAUCCUCUCUACAUCCUCGCAGGAGCGACAGAAACAGUGGCCAGAUUGUUUUGAUAUCCCAGAUUUUUCUGUUGAUGUAGCAUAUAGACUUAGGCAAGCAGAUCAUCAGUUUCUUCGUGAUGGUACGCACCUGAAAGUAACAAAAGAGCUGAAACAUGAGAUUCUUGAAAGAUUGGCAGAGAGCAUGUAUAGUUGCACAGCAUACCCAAAUAAUGCUCAGUUUGAAAGUGUUGCACAAGCCCUCAUAAGCAAGCACCCCUCUCUCCAGGAGCGAGGCUCAACCAGUCGCUGUAGUGGCUGGAAAAAUAGUCUAAAAUUUAAAAUGGCUAAUUACAGAACAAAGCGCAGAAGAUCAGGGUGCCUUGAUGUAGCAGUAAAUGCAGGGAAAUGAGGAGGGCAUUCAACUGAAGGAGAACCAGCCAACAAGAACAUCAAGAAAGGCGAGAUCAACUUCUUACCCAACUUUCCAGAGGGAUUUAAUCAGGUAGCCCUUGAGGGUGCCCACAAAGACUUGGUUAAUGAAAUGCAGAAGAGAACACCAAAUGGACAGCUUGUGAAAGAGAAGAUGGAUCUGACAUUUGCAUUGAGAAGAAAAGAGGUGGUGGAGUCAGAACCUGCUGUAUGUGAGAUGGUGGAACGUUGGCCUGCUCUUUUCACAGAAGAUCAGGUAUGCAUGGAGUUCAACAGGAUUGUUGGCAAGAAUCUCAAACAGGAAUUCUAUGAGAGCAUUGAUCGGCACAGUCCUCGUCUUAUCGAGAUUUUUCGAUCCAAGAGAGGGAACAUUGGCCAAAUGUUGACACAGCUUUCCCAACAAACAAAGACUGCAGAGCCAACUGAUAUUCGAACACUGGUGCUCAGAGGACUUCCUGUUAUCCUUGGUGACAACCCCACAGACUUCUACAAACCAGCCUUUGACUCAGAUGACGAUGACUCUUUCUGCAACAUUGACAUUGGGAUCCUCCUCGUUCAACCUGAAGGUGCUGUGCCCUCAUCCUCCCUGCAUCUCAGUCCAGCCUCACUAAAAAUUGUCAUUGAGGGAGAAGUGGUGAUGGACAACAUUCAAGACCUGCCAAAAGCUAUGUGUCUUCUCUUUGGACUUGCAUAUGCAAUGCAUCUCAGUUACCCCAUUUCUAUGAAGUUCACGUUCCAGUUCAUCCAACAGAUAUUUCUUGAGCUGGGCCACGUUGAACUAAAACCAAAGUUACAAACAUUGAAAAACCAGCUUGCGAUGUAAAGAAAUGUCUUGUGUGUUGUUGUCAGUGAACAGUCAGGGGGUUGAAAAUAUACUUGAGCAACUUUAUCAACUCCAUCUGCAUUAUCUAAUGCAGUUCAGUGCAGCAGUACUGCCUCAACUUUUAUUUCUUAAGAAAGUUUGUAAUGUUCAGUUUACAGUGUUAUAAGACACAUCAAUGUCAGGCCACUUGUACUCUACAAAACAGGAUUUAGACGUGUAUGCUCAGGGCUCCAUAGUAAUAUUUAGUUGAUACAGUUAAAGGAAAAUUCAGCACUUUUCAUAUAAAUGUCCAGUUUGUGUUGAUGGUAAAUGUAGUCAUUUGAAGCAGUAAAUUCAAAAUAAUGUAAUUCCUCCUCAACAGCAACAUUACCGCUUAUUUUACAGGUUUUUUCAGUCAAUAGCAGCACAGGAAUUUAUUGCUUCAGUUGAUUACAUUUACUAACAACACAGACUGUACAUUUACAUAAAACAUGCAAAAUUUUCCCUUAAACAUAGUUGAUCUGUGCAUUUUCCAAGUUGGAGAUUGUGUCCUAUUUUAAGGUGUCCAGUUUUUCCAAAAGGAUGCAAAUAUUUUUGUUGAAUGCUGCUGCAUUUGUAUUCCUCCUCUAAACAUGUUAGAAUUGAGUUCAAGCACAUAUGCCUAUUUUUACUUGCCUUUUGGAUGGCAAACUUUUUUUUGAAUGGCUACUGUUUUGAUACUUUUUUAUACUUGUGAAAAGCAUGAUGACAAACUAUAGUUAAAAUUGUCUUUUUGCGUAAGUAUUCUGCAAAAAAUA